GUCAUCAAGGCGGACUCCAUUGAUGUGGCUGUCGAAAGGAUUCUUCGUGAACUUGGGUCGGACACUAGAAGAAGCAACAAUAGAGGGAAUGCCAUCUACUUUGAUGGCUGGGAUGGCCUUGGGGCAUCUGCCGUCCUGCAAGCCAUAGCCAAACGCCUCACACCAUCAAAUGAUGCAUUGGCUAGGCCUGCUGGGCUGGAGUUUCAGAGAAUCAUUCACAUCGAUUGCUCAAAGUGGGAGAACAGAAGAGUAGUGCAGAGGAAAAUCGCACAGCAGCUGGAGCUUCCCAGCUGGGUGAUGGACAUGUUUGACAAGGAAGAUGAGGAGGAUGAUUUCAAUGGGUUAGACCAAGGCUCCCGCGGUGAGAUAGAACAAGUUAACGCAGAGAUCAAUCAAGCUAUACAGAUUUCCAGGUUCCUGGUGAUCCUGCACAAUGGAGGCAAUGAAGAGAUUGAUAUAUCACAUUUUAGUCUUUAUCUAUAUGGGUAUGCCAAUAGCAAGAUGUUGUGGACUUUCCGAGGGAGGUUUCGACUUGACCCCAAGGUGAUAGACAAUGUGAAGAAGAGCACAACAACACAUGCUAUUAUUUCAGCUUCCAGUGGUGGGCGAGAUCCGCAAAACCUUUGGUCUUAUCUAGUGCACCAUGAGGCUGCACAAGUUUCCCGCAAUAAGGAUGGUCAUUGCAUCAUUGAUCCGGCAAUUGCUGCUGAGUGUGCCAAAUAUAUGCUGAAACGAUGCUGCAUUGGCCCUCACAUCGUUGACUAUGACUGGGUUGUCCAUACCAGUAACUACUGGGUAUGCGAUGGGAUCAUCGCACUGGCAGACAUUGAGAGAGCUUGGCAAGUUGGAGAUGUUCUGCAGCGUGAGCUGCGUUUGUUGGGCACUGAAAACCGGCAUAAUAUUGGUGAUUUAACAAUAAUGCCUUCCUCUCACUUGUCAAGGUCUACCGAGCAUAUUCCGUACUGGAUUUCAAAAGCAACUUGUCGAUUUGUGCUCAGCCCCUCUGCAGUUAUGCCCGAUGACAUGUUUCAGCACUCACACCGGCUCGGCGUGCUCAAGCUCUCAAGGUGUACCUUCAGCUUCUAAUUGCCUCCAUUCCUAUGUUGCCACAGCCUGAGAUUCCUGUGGCUUGAUCACUGCCAAGACAUCCAAACAAGAACACACAACAUAGAUGCAGAAAAGGAGGAGGAGUUGGACCACAACACCAUAGUGUUGUGGGAAUGCUUCCAAAGCUUGUGGGUGCUUGACCUGCGCCACACGGAUUGUUAUAAGAUCUUGUCAGCGAGGGUGAUGGAUCUCAUGAUCCAGCUGAGGGAGCUAAACGUGAUGGGAGCCAGGAACUGGGACAUGAGCCAUCUACAGGGACGGCUGCGUAACAUUCGCAAGCUCCGAUCCACCUGCUACUUCAACAACAAUGUGUUAUCAGAUAUGGGGAACAUGGAGCUUCUUGAUUUUUCUGGAAAUAUCAUCAGACAAGGCAUGACAAUCUUAUCUGGGCCAGAAAGCAACAAUAGCCUCAGAACUGUGAUUAUUGGUGGAUGUGAUGGGUUGAAAAUUAUCUCUUUUAGGGGAUGCAAAGAAUUGAAGAACCUGUUCUUGAAAGGAUCAUUGGGGAAUAUCAAUGAGCUGGACCUCUCGGGCACAAGAGUAAAAACGCUCGACUUUGGAGGAGUGGAAACCAGUUCAAUCCCCAAGAAGCUUAUCUUGCUAGGCUGCGAGAAGCUCCGGGCAAUAUUGUGGCCUCAGAAGGUAGUAAGGGAAGGAUGGUUUGGUGUGCUUAAAGAAGAAAUAUUUAAGGCUCAAUGGCGGAUUUCUAUCAUGGAUACAAGGUUUCUUAGGUCGCUUUCUCCUGUAAGAUGGUAUUUAGGAGGCUCAUCCAUACAUAUUGAUGUCUGCCAUGCAGCUAGCGUCGGUGGUAGCAACAUCCAAGGAACAAGCAGUGACGAACUAGUGCAAGUUCAACCGCAUACAAGUACCUUAAUGGACUCGAAGUACAGAGAUAUACUGAAGGGCGGCCCAGUUCCAACAGAUACUUGUGCUUUAUUAUUGCCUCAUUUUCUAUGUGAAGCGGCUACAUCACUGCACGUGUACGAUAACCCAGCCAUCACCAGUAUCCCUGCACCACCCCAAGGAUCGGGAUGGAGAAGUAUAAGAUGGUGCCGAAUCGAGAGUCUUGAUGACAGUAAUGUGAAGAGCUUUUUCUGGCUGGAGACAUUCUGGGCCUCCCAGCUCCUCUCUGCAUGCUACAUCUGGGACAGGCCAACCCAAAGCUACUUUUAUAACCUGAACCUCUUGCAUCUAGACCAUUGCCCCAGGCUCGUACAUGUUCUCCCCUUCUCCAAAUGGGAGGGAGACACCUUGGGUGCACUGGAAACCCUCGAGAUAGUGUCAUGCGGUGAUCUCAGGGAGGUCUUCCCUUUGGACCCUCAGCUUCAAAAGCAGGAUAAAAUUCUAGAAUUUCCAAAGCUGAGGCACAUCCACCUGCACGAGCUCCCCAUGCUGUAGCACAUCAGUGGGUGCAGGAUGUGGGCACCUAAACUCGAGACCAUCAAGAUCAGGGGCUGUUGCAGCCUCAAGCGUCUGCCAUUAAUCGGACGCAACACCAUGCCGCCCAAGGUGGAUUGUGAGAAGGAAUGGUGGUACAACCUGGAGUGGGAUGGGUUGGAGAAGUACCACCAUCCUUCCCUCUACGAGCCGAGCCACUCGUUGUACUAGAAGGCCCAGCUGCCCAAAGGUACCCUACUCAGGUGA
rnacentral:rRNA from 1 species